GUCAUUUUUUCUUCUCCGACAUGGAAAAUAACGUGAACUUUGUCAUUCUCAGAUGCUGAAUUCCAAAUCAUCUGAAUUAAAUUUGAAUCCCAGUGGGUUCUGCACCUUCCCAGUUGUUCAUCACUUGCAGCAUUUAAUACAUUUUAGAUGACACUAUUAAUUCCAGCCCCCCUGGAGACACUGGUUAGACUUCGUGAGCCCGUCGAGUAGAAGACCGUGAACGAGUCCCCAGAGCUGUUCCAGUUUCAGCAAUGCAAUAAGUUAAGUUUCCUUCAAAAGGACAACACGUGCCGGCAGCCCCUGGCAAAUGUCAAAGGCCAAAGACAGAUUGUUUGGUGCUCAGAAAAUGAGCGACCUUUCCAUUCCUGAGCAGCAUCUUGUCAUAUCAGUGUGAGCUCUGAGCCAGGGGCACAUUCGUGAUCCACCACCUGUGACUGAGUGAACAGACGGUCCUUUGGCUGGGGUCAUGGAGAAGCUACGCUGGCCGUGUCCGAGGGGUGCCUGGGAUCAGGCGUUCACAAGUGCUUGGAAGAGAGGCACACCCAGCUGUGGGGUCAGUUCUCCGCGGAGCCCUGGAGUGCCGCCUCAGCAGGGCGAGUGGGAAAUGAAAAGGGCCAAAAGACCCGAUUGUGGAGACGUGGGUGCCUCCAGCAGUGAGUACAGCGAGACCCAGGCCGCAGCUCUGGAGGAGGAGGAUGAUGAAUAACUCGUUCUGAAAGCAUCUGGAGGGAGACUGCUGCGUACAUCUCUUCCGAAGGGGUGCAGAGGAAGGGUGAAGCGAUGCCAGCGGGCUGGUGCGUGCAGCCUCUGCUGACAGAACCAGCAGUUGCUCUUGGGAGCGUGGCAAUUGUCAGAGACACUCGGCGAUGUGACCAAGCAGUGGCUGUCUCUAAGGCCAGAAGAGACCUGGCACAGCCAGCGAUGCCGAAAGAGGAGCGGUGAGGCUGAGAGUCUGCAGCAGGAAUGCUUCACAGGGACAUCCUGCAGAGCCAGGUGCGGAAAUGAGCUCCGCGAGAGCGGCCAGAGAGGGUAACGGCGUUGUCAAAGGCAGGCAAGUCCUGCGGGUGAGUAUGGGCAGCUCUGUCAGUGCAUUCAUCGAGCAACUGGGAUGCCCCCAUCCAUUUCUCCAACUUUGGAAACAUCCAGUUGAGUGCCUGAACGCGAGAGAUUUCUUGCAAAGGAGGUAAGAACAUUCUAGAGCUUUUCCCAGCGGAGAUGCGAGAGUGAGAAAGGCCCUGUAGUCAUUGCACACACCCCAACACGUGCACCCGCAUACACACUGAUUUUAUUAAGCCAUUCUAUGCAACCAUUUUAUAUAUAAUACGUAUUUUUUUAUUAUUUGGAAAUCUUCAGAGUGCUUUUUUUCACACACAGUAAAGUUAGCCUUGCUGAGAUUCAUUAGUCCCCUUUCCCCCUGUGUGUAAAUGGAUCUCUCUCAGUUAUGCAACGCGAGGGUACACAACCAUGAAAAGUGCAGAGGCAGCCAAAAAAAGCAUUGUUCUGAACUCGGACGUGUAAAAUAUUCAUAUUCAAUAAUAAAAAAUAAAAAAACAGCCCUUAAUAAAAAAUUCACAGCGUAAAAUAUGCAUUGUCGUUCCAUCCCCAGGGCGGCAGCCGUUUCCAGCCCAACAUGUUACAUGGGUUUUCACUGCCUUGUUUUACUCGAUUAAUUCAAAACCAAUUCACUUGCAGACAUCCCAGUAUUAGGUGCCUAAAUUGAUUCCGAUUUCUCUAAGGGCAGCGUAUCUAUGACUACAGUAAUAGCUGGUGGGAGCUGUGCCUGUUCAACACGGAGGACCAACAGCGUGUCCCUGUUCCCAAAGCCGUGCCUGUGCGUGGGAAUGGGGACACCAGCCCUGGACCAGCAGGAGGGCUCUUUUAGCCUCCUGCUUGGGCCACCUCGGUACCCCUGGUUCUUGUCCGAGCAAUUUGGCCGGUUGUAAACACGGCUGAGCAACUCUCCGUAGAAGGGGGAGCACGUCUGGAACAAGCUGAGGUGUCUCCACGUGGCACUGUCCUCCACCCUGCAGAAUCACCUGCAGCGCUUUGCCCACAGGGCAGGAGAAAUGACAUAAACUUGUCCCUGUUUUACCGACGGGAAGCAGAGAUGGGUGGGAAUAACUGCUUGGCUCCCAUCUUAACCAAAGUAGGCAGGAAUUUAACUGAUCAAAAAUUAAAAUUAAUUUAAAUUCCUGGCCAGGAAUUUAACUCAGAUUUUUUCAUCUCGUGUCACAGCUGCAAGGCCGCACUACUCCACUGUGUGCACGAGCAUCCCGAACGGUGAUGGAGCAGAAGGACAGGACCAGGGAGGCUGAGGCGCUGCGCUGGCAGGAUGCACGAGUGCCGCCUGUUUCUGCUCAGGAUCGUGUCCUCAGGUGUCAGGUCAUUAUUCCUUUAUGAGGGGAGGAAUGGACCCCUGCACAUCCGGAGCGGUCGCAUAACCUCCAGAUCUGUCACAGACUUUCUAUGGCAAGAUCUGGAUUCAUCCCAUCUAGCCUUUUACAACUAAAACUUCACCUACUUACGAGCUGCUGGCUUUUAUCUCUCUCCGCUCACUGAAGAGAACAUCUUUCGGAGAACGCGCAGAAGGAAUCUCUCCCGUUAGUCAAGAUGCUCGGAGAACACACCCACCCCAGCAGUUCUAUCUCACGCUUCUCAACGGCUGACAUAUCCAUGAAGAAAUUCACUUUGUGCGUGAAGGUGCCAUCUCAGGUGUAAGCGUCACCCGCUUUUGUUGCUGCCCUUGGAGCACAGCUCGCUGGCAAGUAGGAGCAGGUGACUCUGAGCUGCUCCCUAGAAGGGUCAGUUUUCUCUCAGAGGAAGGAAUGGAGUCUUCUCUGCGCUGACUCGCAUGCCAGGAGGCUCUGCGGCUUCUCUGAGGUUUGAUGGGCUCUGAUGUUAUUGGUACGGAUGCCCAAUUCCUACAUGUCAAGAGAAAUCUUCUUGCUGCAGAGGAAGAAGGGAACAGCAGAUGCAGACCUUGUAAGCAGGAGAGAACCCGUCUCCUUUCUGUAAAACCUAAAGGAGAGGUGGCUUCAAGGCUGAAAGCAAAUUAAAGGAAAAGUGGAGGCAAGUGGAACUUAAGUGCUAAGGUAGAAAGUUGUUUGCGAAACCUGAGGGCCUCUGUCCUCUGCUCUGAUUGAAAUGCUCUUGUUUCUGGCAUGGAACGUGUUGCAUAGUCAGCACUUGAGUGACAGCUUUGGUUGGGAAGUUAAGGUGGUAGUUGGUAUCUGUUCAGAUAAAGCACUGGAGAGGUUUUUUUGGUGUGGGGUGUUGUGAGAUUUUUGUGAGGAGACGAGAGAGACUUUGGUGAUUCCCAGACUGAGUAAUUACAGAAGACCUUGAGGCUUCUUUCCAAGAAGUGCAAUAAAGACGGGCAGUGAGGCCUCGAUUGCUAUGUGGUGAUGACAGACCUGACCUGGCUCUGCCAAGGAGAGCCAAGGAUCAUUCCUCCCCCUUCCCCUGUGUAGCCCGUGGAUAACGUGCAGAGAGACAAAUAAUUUGUUCCCGCUCUGUGGUGGCCGGAGCACCCUUUCAGCUUUUUGUGAUGCUAGAGGGAAAACUGCCCCUGGUCCAAGGUCCUGGCACCGAGGGUGAAGCAAAACGGUUGUUGUGGUCCGGGUGAGGACUAUCGGGAACUGUCCCUUCCUCUGCACACACAACCGUGGUUGAACCACACAGUCAUCUGCUUCUAUUAAAGAAAAAAACAGCUGCUUUCUUACUGCAGUUAUUGUUUAAUUCAUUCAUGCUGCUUGUUGGAAACACCGUCAUUAAAGUCCUUCUGGGGCAUAGUUUGUUUUAAAGAAAACUCUCUGUGGAACAGACUUUCCUUUAAAUUUAGUACAAAGGGAAAGCCCAGCUAGUUUUAUUUAUAGAUCAGGGCAUGAGAGAUUUUCAGUGUUCAGGCUAGCGUUGUAUCUCUCUUUCUCCCAUAAAAACAGUUCUAACAUUUUUUCUCGUCCUUCCAGAAUAAAAUUCUUUUACUGUGAUUUUUUUUUUCCCCUAAAAUGCAGUCACUUUGCUGAUAAAAAUGUUGGGUUUACCCAUUGAAUAGGCAGUUCUAUGAGCUGUGACACUGUUCUUGGAUGAUGUGUUCUAGGGUUUGGUUAUUCUUUAACAGACAUCUCUUGCUUCCUUGAGUUUGUGACAGUUCGUGUGCCUAAAGCUGUUUGAGCAUCUUCCAAAUCCAUAUGAUAAAUGUUGGGGUGUUAUUAAUAGAGAAGCAUCUGGAAUUUGCACAAUAUAUGCAUGUACAAACAGUGAGAAAAUGUGAUGAAAUGAUAAGAAAUAUGACUUUCCAACAACGUGGAUGAUGAGAAAAUGAACAGCCUUGGUUAUUAGUUCAUGUGUGUUUGGUAGGGGAGAAAACACUAAACUGGUUUGCUUGGAAAACCAGCAGUGUCCAGGUGAGUGACAACCCUGAGAGCAUAAGUCUUGUUUUCUAUGAUUGAUUUAUAUUAUUGUUGAUAGUAUUUCAUAAUAUAGCUUUAUAUAAUAAUAUAUUUUAAUGCUGUUAAUAAUAGCAAAACGCAGAGGUUUGAAUGGCUUUGUUUAAAGCAGUAGUUUUGCCUUUUCUAGUGAAAAUCAGGCUGUGCUAAACAGGGCCAGCUGUAAGAAUUAAAGGCUGAGGUGAUUACAAUGCAGAAAACUGACUGCUUUGUUGCCAGAGUUUUCCUAAAGCUGAGCGUUGGCCUCAAAAAGAGCAGCAGCUCUUGGCUAGUUUGAAAAGAAGUCAGGGGACACUGGUCACUUCCUCCUGUUGUGACCUCACCAGGUUUUACUAUCGCAGUCAUUCUUUUCCCCCAUUGAAUCAACCCAGAUUCAAUGGUCAAUAUACUCGGGAAUAAAGCGUCUCGCUGCCAACAUGGCUCAUUCCACUGAGCAUUGUGACAAAAUAAUUGAUUAAGACUCAAAUUCCCUUGAAAACGUCAAGUCCUUUUGUGAGCUUUAAUUGAUUCACAUUCUGGGCCACUUAAAAGCAGAGUUAAAAAGCUGUUAGUAAUAAUUUCAUAGGAAAUAUGUUCCCCGUGUGAGCGAGCAGUCCCCUGUGUAAUGCACCCAAGUGGCUGAAACCAAGACAGCCUUCUGUUCCUCAGGAUGGACUUGAUAAAUGCAGACACCGCUCUUAUUUGAGCCGUUUAAAAUCGCUGUAUGGGUGAUCUCACUCCAUUAUUUUUAAAGAAACUUCUCAGUUCACUCUAUUUAACUUUUACUUCAGAGAAAUGAAAGUAUUUCCCCAUCUCAUUUAUAAACUGCAGCUGGAUGGUAGUCGAGCAGCUCGUGAUCCCUGUGUUUCAGGGCACUGAAAGGAUCCAGAGUGAAACUAUCAAAGCCUUGAGGUGUCUGUCGGGAAACUGCACUCCUGGCACUGGUGUGGGAUUGUUGGUGAUUGAGAACCACGCCGGUUUCCUUGUGCCGAGGGCCACGCACAGAGGGUUGUGCAGGGCUUUUCUGCAGGCACUCUGGUUUUGAG